CCUACGGGUGGCAGCAGUGGGGAAUAUUGCACAAUGGGGGAAACCCUGAUGCAGCAACGCCGCGUGAAGGAAGACGGCUCUCGGAUUGUUAACCUCCGUUUUUAGUGAAGAAUAAUGACGGUAGCUAAGGAGCAAGCCACGGCUAACUACGUGCCAGCAGGCGCGGUAAUACGCAGGAGGCACGCGUUGUCCGGAUUUACUGGGUGUAAAGGGAGCGCAGGCGGGUAGCUAAGUCAGAGGUGAAAAAUACGGGCUUAACUUGGAGACUGCCGUUGAUACUGGUUGUCUUGAGUGAAGUAGAGGUUGGCGGAAUGUGGGGUGUAGCGGUGAAAUGCGUAGAUAUUAGGCAGAACACCGAUUGCGAAGGCAGCCAACUGGGCUAUUACUGACGCUGAGGCUCGAAAGUGUGGGGAGCAAACAGGAUUAGAUACCCCGGUAGUC
rnacentral:rRNA from 1 species